CUGCCUUCUACUGUGAUGGAGAAUGCCUCUACCCUCUGUGUUCCUGCAUAAACUCCACCACCCACACUAUGAUCCAACUAGUGGUUUGUUGAACAUGAGUGGAAAUGAAACUCCAGCACACUGGUAGCACUAAAGACGUGUGAGUAUAACUUUUCCAGUCUGGCACUAAGUGUGACAACAUUCAGGUGGCUGGUCUGACCGUGUCCUACAACGGGUCCCCUGGUGUACGAUGGCAGCCUGUUGUCAGAGUGUAACAGAGACUGCUCCUGCUUGGCUGGGGAGUGGGACCCUGUGUGUUCAGACAACGGCAUCACCUACACCUCCCCCUGCCUCGCAGGCUGCUCCAGCUUUACAGGUUAUGGCAAGAACAC
ensembl:lncRNA